GCUGAAUUUGUUGCUUUUCAGAGAGGGGCAGUCGGUCUGUACAUGCGUGAGGUGGCGAGAGGCGUGUCCAGGGGGCGGCUAGUAGCGUGUGCCACCGUGGAAAUAUGUACAGACAUAAAGAAGACGCCCUCAAGAAAGAUGUGGUGAAGACAGUGUUAUGCACCACCACACCACCAUUACACUUCCUGUCUUGCUUGGUGAAUGAACAGAGCACCACUAACAUCACAUCAUUGCAUCACCACAUCACCACACCACCACCUCCUGUCCUGCCCCAGUGAAAUAGAACAUCACCACCACAUCACCACAUCAAGAGUCAGUGAUUGCCUGCAGCCAGCCCUAGCCUGACCCGCCAGACAUGUGUCCCAGGCCUUCCCCUAGCCUGUAGAGCCAUGUAAGCCUGCAGGUCAAGGUCAGGUAAAAAAAAAACAGGCCGUAACGUAAAAGAUCAAGACAUUUACGAAGACUGUCUUUGAUGGGCUCAGGUCCUCCGUGCAGACCACCAACAAGCAAGAGAUUGACGAAAUACAGGUUGUGAAGACGCUGCAAGCUGAUGCCUUCAGAGAUCGCGAAGGUCCUCACCUUGUUGUAGGAGAGCUGACAACAUGUACCAGCCAGCAGCAACUCCCAUGCUAACAGGCUUCUCCCCCGCGGGUAUGUAGCACCUCUGGAGUCGCUCGAUGAAGAAGAGGAUGCUGGCGAGGCCUGUCGUGUUAGCCGGGAUGCGCCGGUACAGAGCUGUGUCCGUUGGGGUUGUGUAGGCAAGCAUCUUCUUGGCAAGGUCCUCGUAGGUGGCCGCAAACAGUUUACGGCUGUGGGAUGAGAACUUGUCUUGUGAAUGUGACGUUGGGAGGAGGGAAGCACAGGGGAAGAGGAGGACGAGGAGGAAGAGAGUUAAGAGUCACAAGAGGAGGAGGAAGGUGGAAAGAAAGAGGAAGGAGAGGAGGAGGAGGAGGAGGAGGAAGAUGGAGAAGGAAAGGAGAAAGAUAAGAAGGAAGGAAAUGCCGCAGAAGGAGAAGAGCAAUAAGAAAUUAGAAUUGACAGAGAAACCAGACAAGGGACUGCAUUUGAAGAAGCACAAGAACCAAGAAAUUACAUCAUUCAAUGAAAUGACAACAUAAUCUAAAGUACAGAUACCAAGGGGAAAUUGCUGGGUCAAGUGGCUACACUGACAUCUGAGGUUAGCAGGUUGGAGAGUGAGUGCAGCAGUCUUCAGGUUCAGCUAGACUGUGAGAGGGAUAAGUAUAACAAACUGCUGGGAGAAUCUCUUGCUCAUGAAAAGUUGUCUGAAGAUGUCAUAACUGAACCAAAAGGAGAAACAACAGGAUUGGGAGGAACUGAGCUUUAACAGAAGCUGCAACAACUGCAGGAGGCUCACAGGGUCCUGGAGAGCAGGUUAACUUGCAGCAUGAAGGAGGUGGCUGAGCUAAGUGACAGGAAGUAGCAGCUUAAGCAUGCUGUAGUGCAUGAGGAGACAGAGUCCAUCGGUGUGACUACAUCACCAUCUACCAGUUGCAGCGAGGAGUGAUGAAGCAACAAGCUCGAGAACGCGAGUUAGACCUUGCCAGCCUCCAUCAUGAAUGAGAGGAAAUGAAGCAAAACCACUCUGCAGGAUUUGAUAUCAAAGCUGGUGCAGGAAAAGGAAGCAGAUCAUGACCUUCAGCAGCUCGAGAAGAUAAGCAGCGUCCUUAAGAGUCCAGUUGCUAUCUUUAGCAGUGUUGGAACCAGUGAGUCUGAGACACCCACCAGCAGUGGAAAGCUGGCUGACGAGCGCCUCAAGCACUCUGAAAAGGUGGAGCAACAACAAGAAACAGAAAAUUGCAUCCAUCAUUCUUUGCCUGAGGAGGGAAUUGAUGCUCUGUUGACC